rnacentral:rRNA from 1 species
UACAGAGGGGGGCAAGCGUUGUUCGGAAUUACUGGGCGUAAAGGGCGCGUAGGCGGCCUGCUAAGUCGAACGUGAAAUCCCUGGGCUCAACCCAGGAACUGCGUCCGAUACUGGUUGGCUUGAAUCCGGGAGAGGGAUGCGGAAUUCCAGGUGUAGCGGUGAAAUGCGUAGAUAUCUGGAGGAACACCGGUGGCGAAGGCGGCAUCCUGGACCGGCAUUGACGCUGAGGCGCGAAAGCCAGGGGAGCAAACGGG